UGAAACAUGUUGAUGGCCACUGUCUUUCAUUU
rnacentral:piRNA from 1 species